AUUGAACGCUGGCGGCAUGCUUUACACAUGCAAGUCGAACGGCAACAGGCCGCAAGGUGCUGACGAGUGGCGAACGGGUGAGUAAUGCAUCGGAACGUGCCCCGUCGUGGGGGAUAACUACUCGAAAGAGUAGCUAAUACCGCAUACGAUCUAUGGAUGAAAGCGGGGGACCGUAAGGCCUCGCGCGAUUGGAGCGGCCGAUGUCAGAUUAGGUAGUUGGUGGGGUAAAGGCUCACCAAGCCAACGAUCUGUAGCUGGUCUGAGAGGACGACCAGCCACACUGGGACUGAGACACGGCCCAGACUCCUACGGGAGGCAGCAGUGGGGAAUUUUGGACAAUGGGCGCAAGCCUGAUCCAGCAAUGCCGCGUGCAGGAAGAAGGCCUUCGGGUUGUAAACUGCUUUUGUACGGAACGAAACGGCUCUGGUUAAUACCCGGGGCUAAUGACGGUACCGUAAGAAUAAGCACCGGCUAACUACGUG
rnacentral:rRNA from 1 species